GACGAACGCUGGCGGCGUGCUUAACACAUGCAAGUCGAACGGAAAGGCCCUGCUUUUGUGGGGUGCUCGAGUGGCGAACGGGUGAGUAACACGUGAGUAACCUGCCCUUGACUUUGGGAUAACUUCAGGAAACUGGGGCUAAUAUCGGAUAGGAGCUCCUGCUGCAUGGUGGGGGUUGGAAAGUUUCGGCGGUUGGGGAUGGACUCGCGGCUUAUCGGCUUGUUGGUGGGGUAGUGGCUUACCAAGGCUUUGACGGGUAGCCGGCCUGAGAGGGUGACCGGCGACAUUGGGACUGCGAUACGGCCCAGACUCCUACGGGAGGCAGCAGUGGGGAAUAUUGCACAAUGGGCGGGAGCCUGAUGCAGCAACGCCGCGUGCGGGAUGACGGCCUUCGGGUUGUAAACCGCUUUCGCCUGUGACGAAGCGUGAGUGACGGUAAUGGGUAAAGAAGCACCGGCUAACUACGUG
rnacentral:rRNA from 1 species